UUCAGUAUUUUAAUUUAAAAGAUAGAACAGUAAUCUUGACAGCAGCUGCAAAUGUAUUUACAGCCAUUUUUGUCCACAAAACUGAACAUACAGCACAGAGUACGAAAUGUUCUGGGCAGGAAACAUUUGGUUUUGUCUAAAUUUGGGAGGAACUUAAUGUACUGCAAUGCCAUUUACUGCUACUACAGUUAGCGUCCAGCAGAAUAAUUAAACAAAUAGCUAGCAACAGAUUUCAUACAGAACAAAGGCAAAAUGAGAGAUACAUGACAUUUUCUAAUUGCUGUAACGAAUGACUACAUUUGGCUUUAGGCAAACUUCAACAAUUAGAACUAUCCUCAAAAGCAUACACCGAGCUGGCAGGAGCAGUAGCCAUAUCUAUGUUAUUGCCACAAAGUAGAAUUGUUGAAAUAACUAGUCUAAGGGCCAAGAUGCUGCAAGGGUGAGUUUCAAAAGCUACCUAAAACACACCUAAAAAGCAAGUUGAGAUUCACUUCCCAGUGUCAGUGUCAAUAUACACAGUAUAAUUAACACUGUAUUAUUACAACUUAUCACACAGCAUUUGCAAACAUGAAAUCACCAGGCAGGAAGUUCAUGGGACACAGUGGUAAGGUUCUGCUAGCGUGCUUCUCAGCAUCUCCUGCUGAUUUAUGGUUAAAGACAUCACUGCAAAUAGAAGUCUGCAUCCUAUUUUGGAAUUCAUCACACAUUCUACCACUAUUUCUCUAGGGUUCUCAAAUGUUAACAUUUCUGUGUGUAAAAAUGAAUAAAUAAAAAUAAUAUAUAUAUAUAUUAAAAAAAAAGUAAUUAAAAGAGUUCACAAAAGUGCAUGGCCAGCUCUCAGGAGAUGGCCAUUUCUGUCAUUGCUGCAAAGUGCUGAAAAUCAAUACUCUACAUUAGGCAAGUAAAAUUUCAGUUUUUACCUUGUAUGAAUGAAAAAAAGUGGGUCUAUUACUGAAGUGCUGCAUGCUGUCUCUUUCCAAAUACUGGAGCUUAGUGUUCAGGUAGAACAUUCUGGUGAGAGUUGCUGAACUCUCACCAGAGAGUUCAGUUCUCUCUGGUGAGAGAACUGAAGGGGGGGAUGAAGGGAAGAGAGACACACUUGCAAAGACUGAGGUACAACCCUUACUAGCUUAUAUCCACAAACAAGACAGCUGUGGAAAUAGGACUCUCAGCUCUUUUCCAAAGGCAUAGGAGAUCCAAGCAGCCUUUCUCUUCAUUGACUUUACAGAUCAAACUGCAAAAUUUACAUGCCUGAAGCUGGGCAACAUGCAUACUCCUCAAGAAGCCAAAAUUAUGCUAGUCUAGAUGGAACCCUCCUUUUACCAUUCCAUUUCCAUUAGCACCAGUGGAUGCUCAAUGCCUGCUCUGCUGUUACAGUUUAGGUGAUAUUUUGCAGAAUACAACUUAGAGUAGUUGCACUUGGCAGGGCCUAACUAGGCAGGAAAAGAAAAGUAAAAAUUUAAUACAUAAAAAUGCUUCUUUGAUGCUACCUUAGCAUAAUCUGCAUUGGAAGAGGCACAGAAGAAUAAGCUUCUAGCCUAAUGUACCAUGAUCAAAACAUACUCACCAUCCCAAUGCCUUUGCUCUUAAAACAUCUGCUAAAGCAUCCAGCUUGGGAAGAAAGAUCAAAAUGUGACAUCUAAAAGGCAUUCAAGGAAGGAUGGCAAGUGUCCCUCAGAGUCUUCUUAGCUUUCCUCCCACCCUCACUCAAAUAAACAUAACACAAUGGCGGUGGAGGAGAUGGGGAGGCCAUUUCAAACUUAUUUUAGCUUGCUUUUGGCAUCUAAGCAUGCAAGCGAGAGCAUCAACAUUUAGAAGCCUAAAGUCCCCAUAAAGCUGAUUAACUCAGCAGAGAAACAUCUGGAGCACAGGGCUGGAUACCAAAGUCUGAUGGCAGGGCUUGGAGAGCCCUCAGCAUCAGCUCUUUUUGAUGAAUACUGGCCAUAACCACACUGUCUAAAGAUGUAUUUACUGGUCCCACUUGACUUUUUACAGCAAAAGCUGCACUUUUAUUCCACUGUAAUGCCUCAAACCCUCAAAAUCGGAUCACAAGGGGAAAAGAUAGUGAUGGAAGCCCUGUAGUUACCUUGCUAGAAAAACAUGUAUUCAGAGUAAAAUGCAUUGUGCAAAACACUUUCAAAAACCACUGUAGGGAAGAUUCCUUCUCCACUGACACAUCUUCAAUUAUUCAAGUUUGUGUGGAAAAAUACUUUAGAAACAUCAGCUCUGCCGUGUCUAUUCACUCAGGGCAGGAGUUUAUGAAUCAAUGUUAAAGUUGUGGCUAUUUUCUCCUAAAAGUUAGCCUUGAAUAAACCAUUCAUCCACAUUCAAUACCAUAAACAUACAUACAAAAGGAAAGCUUUAGCCUAAUUCCUGGCUGUCUUUUUGUUCAGCCUGGUAACUCACAGUACAUGAUGACUCACAAUUAUAGGCAAUUAAUUCAAAUAUCUGGGAAACAAGAAAUCACAUCUGCAGUUAAUCAUCUUAUGCUUUUUCCAAACCAUAAAUCAUUUUUGUAAAGGAAGAGAACAAAGAUAUAAGAGAUAUAAUUAAAUGUGACAUUUUCCACAAAUCAAACGCUUCCUACAAAUGUGCCAAUAACAUCACAGAAAAACAAAGCUUUCCAAAUUGCUUGUGUUUAUAUAAUGCUCAUCAUCUCUCCAAGGCUCACUUAAGGCAGAGAGUACAAUACAUAUUAUAUGCUACCAUAGUGUGAAAUUGUCAUUGCUAACCUAGGAGGCAAUUUCACUGCACUACUCCAAAUCCCAUCUAUGGCAACCACCACCGCCUUGGCCAAAAUUACUUCCCAGGUAAAAUGAUUCCUCUCAUAUGCUGAACUGCAGUUGACACCUAUAGUCUAUUUGUAGCCCAGCCUAAUAGCCCAGCCUAUAAGUUCAGGUGCAGGCUCAGAGUGAAAUGUUGGCCCUUUGGAAGGAAAACCAAAAAGAACUUAGCAAAUGAGCUGACUGAGGCUUCCCAAAUGAGCCCAUUCAUCACAAACUCUACCAUAGGACCAAAAUGGGCAAAAUUUGAAGUAGUAAAGCACAGGCCUUUUCCUUUCAAAGUAAGACUUGAUUUAAUUUAAAUGUUCAUGCUUAGAAGAUUAGAAAACACCAUACAAAAAUUAGACAAGCUCUUAUACUCCAUGUAAAAGUUUUAGUUCAGUUCAAAGUUAUUUUAAGGUUUUCAAUUUGGCAAAAGAAAAAGGUGUUUGUUUUGGGGUCCAACUUGGAGAUUUUUUUUGUGUUCUUAUUAUUUUUCCCAUUUUCACCAUCAAAAUGAAACAAAAUCAAACCAUGCAACUGCCC
ensembl:lncRNA